UGGUGGAUCUUGGCCAAGGGAAUGCCUUGGCGACUGGAGCGGCGCGUUUAUUGCGUUUCUAUCUGAGAAGCGGGGGGGGAGGGGGAAGCCCCCUUUGCAAGUGCAACGCUCCCGAAUCCGACACACACGACCCGACGAUUAUCCACGGCGGGGUGAUUCUCAUUCAGCUGCUCGUGCGAGUUCCUCCGCCUGGCCGUGAGCUGCGACCGUGCAAAGGCGCAGCCCUGCAACUGCGCCGCUUGCGCCACUGCCAAUCGACGCUUUGGUUUUUUCGGUCAAGUAACGACUCCACGCGUUCAGAGCGAGUUGGUUCCUCGCUUUGCAUGUCCACGUGACGACCAAGGCAUGUCCACGUGACGACCAAGGCAUGUCCACGUGACGACCAAGGCAUG